AGGCUGGGCUGGGACGGA
rnacentral:miRNA from 1 species